rnacentral:rRNA from 2 species
GCUACACAUGCAGCCGAGCGGUAUUGUUUCUUCGGAAAUGAGAGAGCGGCGUACGGGUGCGGAACACGUGUGCAACCUGCCUUUAUCUGGGGGAUAGCCUUUCGAAAGGAAGAUUAAUACUCCAUAAUAUAUUAAUUGGCAUCAAUUGAUAUUGAAAGCUCCGGCGGAUAGAGAUGGGCACGCGCAAGAUUAGCUAGUUGGUGAGGUAACGGCUCACCAAGGCGAUGAUCUUUAGGGGGCCUGAGAGGGUGAUCCCCCACACUGGUACUGAGACACGGACCAGACUCCUACGGGAGGCAGCAGUGAGGAAUAUUGGUCAAUGGGUGCAAGCCUGAACCAGCCAUCCCGCGUGAAGGAUUAAGGUCCUAUGGAUUGUAAACUUCUUUUGUAUAGGGAUAAACCUACCCUCGUGAGGGUAGCUGAAGGUACUAUACGAAUAAGCACCGGCUAACUCCGUGCCAGCAGCCGCGGUAAUACGGAGGGUGCAAGCGUUAUCCGGAUUUAUUGGGUUUAAAGGGUCCGUAGGCGGACUUAUAAGUCAGUGGUGAAAGCCUGUCGCUUAACGAUAGAACUGCCAUUGAUACUGUAAGUCUUGAGUAUAUUUGAGGUAGCUGGAAUAAGUAGUGUAGCGGUGAAAUGCAUAGAUAUUACUUAGAACACCAAUUGCGAAGGCAGGUUACCAAGAUAUAACUGACGCUGAGGGACGAAAGCGUGGGUAGCGAACAGGAUUAGAUACCCUGGUAGUCCACGCUGUAAACGAUGCU